UAAAUGAAUGUUGAUCCAAAUGAAUUCAUUU
rnacentral:piRNA from 1 species